ensembl:lncRNA
AACAUUUCAGUGAGAGGUGGCAGGCUGGUGAGCCUGUGGGAAACAGGUAAAGUUCAGGUCAAAGAUACACUGAAAGCUCAUUAUCCAAGCAAAUAUUGCAGUGGUUUUGGAGAGAAGUCUGACCAGGGACUAGUAAAUUUUUUAAUGAAAGAAGCAAAAUUUCCUGAAGGAAGAUUCAAAAACACAGAUCUCUACUUCUUGUUUAAUGUAGAACUUCCAAGCCAGAGAAUCAGGCCUUGCUAGGCCUGCCAUGAUAAUUACGCAAAGGCAGAGAGAGGCACAGCUCACAGGCUCCUGCUUUAUUCUCGUUAGUUGGUACUACCUGACACUGGGUUUGAGCAGUCACAUUCUGGACUUUCUGACUUGAAGUGUGGUGUGAUAGAAGUAGAUUGAAAUAUACCAGAAGGUUGGCUUCCCCUGGAAGAAACACCGUUGACAACCAUUAGAUUGUGAACUUCCCAUCCUAAUCCCUGAUUCUCAGCAACAAACUACUAAACAUGUGAACUACUGGGAUACUCAUUUAACCAUAAAGGACUCAAGAAAGAAAAGAAUCUCCAUUCUGUCUUUGGCCAGCUUUCCAUUGUGAGUCAAUAUGUGGUGAUUCUGCUUGUGGAGUUGAGCAAACUUCACCAACCUCAUGGAAUCCUGAAGCCCUCUGGGAGAUGAUUCACAUCAAGUUCCCAACCAGUGAUUCUGCUGCUGCUGCUGCUAAGUUGCUUCAGUCAUGUCGGACUCUGUGCAACCUCAUAGACGGCAGCCUGCCAGGCUCCCCCAUCUCUGGGAUUCUCCAGGCAAGAACACUGGAGUGGGUUGCCAUUUCCUUCUUCAGUGCAUGAAAGUGAAAAGUGAAAAUGAAGCCGCUCAUUUGUGUCUGACUCUAAGUGACCCCGUGGACUGCAGCCUACCAGGCUCCUCCCCUGGGAUUUUCCAGGCAAGAAUACUGGAGUGGGUUGCCAUUGCCUUCUCCAACCAAUGAUUCUAGAGCAGGCUAUAUAAAUUUUCUGUCAUUUUGCUAUUCAAACUAAAUGUGUUUACUUGUUUUAAGACCUCUCAAAACUAAUUUCAUUGUAGUAUUUUCAAUGCAGUAUCCAGCAUAGCAUGGUGGUUCAGAGCAUGAGAUUUGGGACCCAGGACAUGAACUGUCAUCUCUAUGGAUAUCCUGUCAGCUUUGAGAUCUUAGGCAAGUUACUUCAUCUUUUUUGAGCCUCAGUUUUCUCAUUUAUAUAAUGAGAAUACAUUCUAAUUCAAAGAAUGUUACAAAGUUAAGUG